UAUUUUUUGUACUGCUAUUACGACUAAUCAAGUAUGCGUACGUUUCUCUCAAGUAAUUUCCAAAAACAAGUCCAUAGAGAUCAAAGUAUUAAAAAUUAGAUAAACAUAAGUUCCAGCAAUUCUGUUGGUGCAACGAGGGUUACAUACGAAAUUCAUCACACAUUUGUGUAAAACUUGAAGAUUGCCUUAAGGACGAAGAACAGAAAUCAGAGACUUUAGCAUCCAGUGCCAACAAUGAUUCUUCAAAACGGCUUGAAGAUGAUCUAAAAUUAUUCUCACAUGAUUCGGUUUCACAUACCUCUUUAGAACCUGAAACGCAAGCACAGAAGUUUAACGGAAUAAUCGAUCAAGAAACUCUUGAUUUGGUGUUUGGAAAACCUGAAAACUCUUCGGCUGAUAAUAAACCCUUAGAAACUAAAACGCAAGCACAGAAGUUUAACGGAAUAAUCAAUGAAGAAACUCUUGAUUUGGUGUUUGGAAAACCUGAAAACUCUUGGGCUGAAAAUAAACCCUUAGAAACUAAAACGCAAGCACAGAAGUUUAACGGAAUAAUCAAUGAAGAAACUCUUGAUUUGGUGUUUGGAAAACCUGAAAACUCUUGGGCUGAAAAUAAACCCUUAGAAACUGAAACGCAAGCACAGAAGUUUAACGGAAUAAUCAAUGAAGAAACUCUUGAUUUGGUGUUUGGAAAACCUGAAAACUCUUGGGCUGAAAAUAAACCCUUAGAAACUAAAACGCAAGCACAGAAGUUUAACGGAAUAAUCAAUGAAGAAACUCUUGAUUUGGUGUUUGGAAAACCUGAAAACUCUUGGGCUGAAAAUAAACCCUUAGAAACUAAAACGCAAGCACAGAAGUUUAACGGAAUAAUCGAUCAGUAUACGAGAAGUAUAGUCUUCGUUUUUUAAAACAUAUAGAAGAGAGAAAACUUUUGUUUAGUUUUAAUGAGAACGUAAAUAGGCAAGAUAAGCUGGUACCGCUGACGUCAGUCCAAACCACCAGUAGGCAUCGUUAUCAUUUAAACCUAUACCGUAAACGAAUAACAGGAUAACCGCACAUGUUUUUAUGCACAUUGAAUGCCUAAAUAAAGGAUCGAAUACAGAAAAUUAAAAUUAAUGUUAGCUGCUGUUUAUACUAUAAAAGUAAGACUGUAUGCGUGAUUGAAGUCGCAUAAUCGAAUCCAUAUAUAAUAAUAUUUACCAUAACUACACUUAUUAGCAACUCAGUGUUGACUACGAGCAUACUGCAGCAUGUUGUUAAACAGGAUUCCUACUUUUUCUGGUUAUUGCAACCAUUAUUUGCGGUAUAAGGCCUUUUUUUUUUAAAGAAAAUAAAUGAUGAAAUAAAAUAAAUAAUCAUUAUCGAUCAUUACUUUGUUUGAUUGUCCUUUAUUCGGUAUUUUAAAGAUGAAAAAUCCGGGGAUCUCAAGUUUUCUAACAGAAGGUCCACUGUCAAUAAAUCAUUUGACAGAAUAAAAUAGUUCUACGUCUAUUUUUGAGGAUUUAAAGCCUAGUCAUCCAACAAAAUCUCUUAUGGUAAACACCCACCCAAAUACACACACAUGCAUACACACAUUAAUUUUAUGGAUCUCAAAGGUCAUAAUUAUUCAGCUGCAUUGGACAAUAGGUCCUUGGUCACUAGUCUAUUCAAUAGAUAUUACAGUAAAUCAUUACGCUAGCAGAAAGUGGUCAAAGCGUUUAAGCAUUACAUUAACUUCUCAUUUCGUAGCAAAUUUGCUAGUAGUCAACUCACUUGCACAUAAAACGCCUAACACCAACAAUUAGAACUUAUUAAUAAUCCGUAAUUACUAGCGCAUGCGUCAUUAACGUCUCGAUAUGGGAUCCCCGCAUAACCGGGUUUGCCUUAGUAACAUUCAUUUAUUCCUCUGUGUGGACGUCAAGCUCAUCAUAACAUGUUACUAAACGGAAAUAUAUUGUUUUUCUUAUUCGCUGCUAUUGAUAUUACAUGUAAGUAUAAAUAGAUCAUGUGUGUAACAAUAGUAUACAACAUACCAAGGAAAAAAAGUGGGACAUUCCGAUCCGAGUGUGUAAUUGCCUACCUGUACCAAUAGAGAGAGUAUUGUGUUUUUUACCAGAUCUGCACUUGGAAGUUUAAAUGCUUGCCUUUGUUAAAUAGGACAAGAAUCUAAACAUCCAGUGCUUCUAUGGUGAACAAUGAAUUGACUUCUUUAUAUUCCUAGUGGAGGUUUAACUAAAUAGAUAAUAUUUAACAUUACUGUUGUUUUUUCUUAAGUUAUUGGCGCGCUACCGGCUGAAUCUGGUCAAAAUGGAGUGACGAAUCAAUUUGGACCCACAGGGGUACCACUGCAGACAGUUUCUCAACUUCACUAUCUACUGUGUGGAAAAUAUGCAGUUUUAAAUAAAACUAUGCGAGCUCUGGAAGUUCGUUGCUACGACAACAAGCCAGAUCCCGAAUACAAGGUAAAACUCUUUAUUUUCCUUAACUAUUGUUGCCACCAACUCACAUCGACCUAUUAAUUAUUAAUUCGGAAAUAAAGUUGUAUAGCUGCGUGGUAACAAAUAAAUUCUAUUGUCAUUAUAACCUUGAAGCGGAAAGCGAUAAAAGUAAACUAUUGACGCCUCGUGGCGCCCGUUAUAUAUUUUCAUACAUCGUACGUUAUAAAUUGUCAUGUUUUCCAGCUUUCUCCGCCUGAUUGUGGAUGCUUAGAUGGUUACAUGCGGAAUUCAGCCAACGUUUGCAUUAAAGCUUCAGACUGCGUUCCAGUGCCCAAUGGAUCCAGUUCCUCAAGAAGUGAAUCAGUGGGCAAAGGCAUUGUAUUUAUUAUUUGCAGCGGAGUCGUUGGUAUCAGUUACAUUAUGUCAUAUAUCGUGAACAUGUAUGCUAUUGUGUAUGUCUUUCGUUCUCAGUUAUCUGCUAAAAAUUGGAUGGUUAAAUAAAUUAAAUAAGUAUCAACUAUUACUAUUUUGUUUAAUUUUCCAUUAUCUAGUAUUUUAGAGAUAAAAAGUCAGAAGAAUCCAAACUGUCUAACAAAAAAAUCUCUGUAAAAUAAUAAUUUAUAGAGCAGAAUAAAGUUCUAUGUCUAAUAUACGAGUUAACGAAUACUCUGUAUGCAAGUAAAACCUAUUGACUACAGAAAAAAAAGGAUUUUUUUCUAUCGAUACUCAAAUUAGCCGUGUAAACAACUCUAACUACAAAACUGUCACUAUAUACAAAGUGAGAUUGACAUUAGGGGAGAUGAACAUACAGUAACACCGCUACCAUACGAUACCACGAAGAUUUUUGAUUCGCAGUCUUAUACAAGUUACAUUAGCAGUAUCUUUCACCGAUGAUCUUUCGGGUUUAAAAUUGCAAUACUCUGGCGCUAGCUUCUGGAUCAAAAUAUGAAGCAAUAUUGCACAAUUCAUAUGCAAGAUAUGUGUUACUAAUUUCUUACAGCGAAUUUUAGUUAAUUUUGAACACUAUGACGCAAUAAUAUUGUAAGCAAAUCUUACGCAAGCAUUGCUUAAUAUUGUCACUAAGGAACUAGUCCGAAAUGUCAAAAAUGUCAAUUGACGAUUCACGACGAUUUAAAACUAUCAAAAACUUAAUCGUUUUAAAUUCUCUCGAAUCGUUAGUUGACGAUUCACCACGAUUAAAAACGAUUAAAAAUUUAAUCGUUUUUAAUCUUCUUUAAUAAUCAAUUGACGAUUCACGACGAUUUAAAACGAUUAAAAAUUUAAUCGUUUUUAAUCAUCAAUUGACGAUUCAUGACGAUUUGUGACGAUUAAAACAGUUUUAAUCGUCACAAAUCGUUUUGUUUAAUCAGGGUAAUUUGAACCAGUGACUCAAAUUAGUGUUAUCAUAAUACCUAUAUCCUGCCGGGACGUUGAUAGCGGCUAACAUUAGUUCUCGGUAUGAGUUUUCGAAGUCAUGUUUUCCUGGUUUGGUAUCCAUUAGGUAGUGUGAGUCAGAUAAAUAGUAAUAGUUAUACUACUUUAGUUCUGACCAAGUGUCCCUGCUAAAUCCAUGCGACUGAAAUCUUUGAAAGCAAAAGACAACAGGGUCACUGCAGCCAGCUACCCUAGCGGCAGUUUCUUCAACCAAUGAAUCCGUGUUUCUGUGAUUAACUAUCAGCAUUUUCCUAAUCUUGGCAGUGUCUGAGUACUUAAAUAAUUUAGAGUUUAAAUGAGGGUGUGAAGAAUAAUACGAAUACGUUAAUAUGCAAAAUUAUUGUUUAUUAGUAAUUUAUCAGUCCGUUAAUUAGUCCAAUUUCCAUUUAUAUGUUACGCUCUACAUGCCGAUGAUUGUUUCAGAGAACUCCAAGUUUUCAGAUACAUUGGGACAGUCUUCAACUUUGAUGCAAGUAUCUGAUUUAUCUCUAACGUACCCCUUUUCACACCAGCAUACUGUUGUAAACUGUAACAAAAAAAAACAAAUAGCUACAGAAUAAAAGUAAAGACAUAUAACUUGGUGUUUAUUUAAUUCCACAACUCUAAUCUUUGCUUGCUUUGCGGCGUUAAUUACUUCAUACCUGUCACAAUACUAAUUACGCUUUCAAUAGGAGCCCUUAUAAUUUUUAGAUUCUAUUUUGACGUGACCGUGACUCUUAUCAGUUCCGGUCAAUUAAAUGUGAUUCGGGAUUUAUCCAAACACAACACGGGCAUGACACUGUUUUAAUUUUUAUCAGUAUUUAAAAUAUUUCUUACUUUAAAGCAGAAUGUUGGGUUGUGAUCAUCACAGCGCUCUUCACACCCACGCCGCAUGGAGUCGUAGGCCUCGUUUUCACCACAAAAGCCAUCUUUCCAAGAGUCACUGUUGAUGGGCGAAGUUUCGAUCCCUUAAAAAAAUAAAAAAAUAAUAUUAAUACCUAUUUCACUAGCUAAUAUCUAGAUGGUGGUGUUGAAUAAAAAAAUAUUACACAUAUUGGAUAUACAUAUAUUAUUUAUACUUACCAAUAAAGGCGAUGCAAGCGACGAGCAGAACAAGUGCGAACUUUUCUGACAUCAUGUGGCCUUUAGUAUUAACUUCUUUCCUACGAUAAAGUUAAUUAACGACUAUAACUUAGAUUAAUAUUGCAACUGGUUAUAUAGGCACAACAAUUAAUUUUGAUGACGUAAAAGAGUUACUCAACUAUUUUUCUAUCUAGCUGUAUGCCUAAAUAUGAACUCUAGUUUGUCAUAAUUUCAAUAUUUUCAUAAUAUUUUUCAACGUUUAUCGGGCGUACAUUCCGAUGCGGUUUUCCUGUUUUCAGGUUUGCGUUAGAAUUUAAAUUUUUAAUAAUAUUUAUUAUUGAUUUUGAAUGAUGCAAUAAACUUCUGCGUUCCCUACCUACUUUACGUCGUGUUUGAAAUACAGAUAUCUUUUCUUUUUUUUGAAAAAGCUUUUGUGGUGAAAACGAGGCCUACGACUCCAUGCGGCGUGGGUGUGAAGAGCGCUGUGAUGAUCACAACCCAACAUUCUGCUUUAAAUUUACAACAGUAUGCUGGUGUGAAAAGGGGUACGUUAGAGAUAAAUCAGAUACUUGCAUCAAAGUUGAAGACUGUCCCAAUGUAUCUGAAAACUUGGAGUUCUCUGAAACAAUCAUCGGCAUGUAGAGCGUAACAUAUAAAUGGAAAUUGGACUAAUUAACGGACUGAUAAAUUACUAAUAAACAAUAAUUUUGCAUAUUAACGUAUUCGUAUUAUUCUUCACACCCUCAUUUAAACUCUAAAUUAUUUAAGUACUCAGACACUGCCAAGAUUAGGAAAAUGCUGAUAGUUAAUCACAGAAACACGGAUUCAUUGGUUGAAGAAACUGCCGCUAGGGUAGCUGGCUGCAGUGACCCUGUUGUCUUUUGCUUUCAAAGAUUCCAGUCGCAUGGAUUUAGCAGGGACACUUGGUCAGAACUAAAGUAGUAUAACUAUUACUAUUUAUCUGACUCACACUACCUAAUGGAUACCAAACCAGGAAAACAUGACUUCGAAAACUCAUACCGAGAACUAAUGUUAGCCGCUAUCAGCGUCCCGGCAGGAUAUAGGUAUUAUGAUAACACUAAUUUGAGUCACUGGUUCAAAUUACCCUGAUUAAACAAAACGAUUUGUGACGAUUAAAACUGUUUUAAUCGUCACAAAUCGUCAUGAAUCGUCAAUUGAUGAUUAAAAACGAUUAAAUUUUUAAUCGUUUUAAAUCGUCGUGAAUCGUCAAUUGAUUAUUAAAGAAGAUUAAAAACGAUUAAAUUUUUAAUCGUUUUUAAUCGUGGUGAAUCGUCAACUAACGAUUCGAGAGAAUUUAAAACGAUUAAGUUUUUGAUAGUUUUAAA